ACAUUGGUAGUUCAGUGGUAGAAGUCUCACCUUCCAUGCAGGAGACCCAGGUUCGAUUCCUGGCCAAAGCA
rnacentral:tRNA from 1 species